UCUUCUUCUUCUUCAUGGAUGUUGCAAAGGUCAUGUUCUUCACCAACUCGUCUCAUACUGUCAACUUAAGCAUCAUCAGCUUCAGUGUAAAAGAAGUAAAAAAAAUUAAUCUACUUGAGAUACAUAAAAUAAAGCAAAACAAUUCAAAGGGAUUGGAUUUGGUGUUCCCUUCCGCCUUUCAUUAUAAAUGGGAUAGUUAGAUAAUUAUAAACCGGUAUAUACGGAAGCUUGUUAGAUAAUUAUCGAUUGUAACGGCGAUAUAGCUUUGCAAGCUUUAUAUCAAACCGUUAUAUAUAAUGGGCGUCGGUGGCAAUGGCGUUAUCGUAAAUUUUUAAACGUUGGGGUUGAUCGACCUCGUAUUAGGGCCUCCGUUUCCGGACGCGGAGCGAGAAUGCCGGAGACAGGAGGAUUUCUUCUCCUCCUCCAUUCUUCCUUGUUUACCGCGAAAUCAAAUAGAAUCAAGAAAACAAAGGAUGACAAGGCAGAGAAGGAUGAAAUGAUUCCGAAGACAUGGUGAUCGCAGACAAAAAGGGGGACCGGUGUGGCACCUGAUGGACCCAAGCUUUGAGACAGAGUAAAGUGUUGUCGAUUGAAUUGCUUAAACUGCUAUUAGCAUCUUACAUCUCUCAAACAAAAGCCAAUAGAACGUUAGGUAGCCAUGCUGGUUCACCAGCAGCAUUUUCUUCGGUUGUCACAGGAAACGUUAUGAUAUUAAUCGACUCCCAAGGGUUGUUGCACCCAACUUGUAACAUUGUUUUGUUUUUGGAUUCACUUUUUCAUGGUGUUCCAUUUAUAUUUAAAAUUGUUUCAUA